rnacentral:rRNA from 1 species
AGAGUUUGAUCCUGGCUCAGGAUGAACGCUAGCGACAGGCUUAACACAUGCAAGUCGAGGGGCAGCACAGGUAGCAAUACCGGGUGGCGACCGGCGCACGGGUGAGUAACGCGUAUGCAACUUGCCUAUCAGAGGGGGAUAACCCGGCGAAAGUCGGACUAAUACCGCAUGAAGCAGGGAUCCCGCAUGGGAAUAUUUGCUAAAGAUUCAUCGCUGAUAGAUAGGCAUGCGUUCCAUUAGGCAGUUGGCGGGGUAACGGCCCACCAAACCGACGAUGGAUAGGGGUUCUGAGAGGAAGGUCCCCCACAUUGGUACUGAGACACGGACCAAACUCCUACGGGAGGCAGCAGUGAGGAAUAUUGGUCAAUGGCCGAGAGGCUGAACCAGCCAAGUCGCGUGAGGGAUGAAGGUUCUAUGGAUCGUAAACCUCUUUUAUAAGGGAAUAAAGUGCGGGACGUGUCCCGUUUUGUAUGUACCUUAUGAAUAAGGAUCGGCUAACUCCGUGCCAGCAGCCGCGGUAAUACGGAGGAUCCGAGCGUUAUCCGGAUUUAUUGGGUUUAAAGGGUGCGUAGGCGGCCUUUUAAGUCAGCGGUGAAAGUCUGUGGCUCAACCAUAGAAUUGCCGUUGAAACUGGGGGGCUUGAGUAUGUUUGAGGCAGGCGGAAUGCGUGGUGUAGCGGUGAAAUGCAUAGAUAUCACGCAGAACUCCGAUUGCGAAGGCAGCUUACUAAACCAUAACUGACACUGAAGCACGAAAGCGUGGGGAUCAAACAGGAUUAGAUACCCUGGUAGUCCACGCAGUAAACGAUGAUUACUAGGAGUUUGCGAUACAAUGUAAGCUCUACAGCGAAAGCGUUAAGUAAUCCACCUGGGGAGUACGCCGGCAACGGUGAAACUCAAAGGAAUUGACGGGGGCCCGCACAAGCGGAGGAACAUGUGGUUUAAUUCGAUGAUACGCGAGGAACCUUACCCGGGUUUGAACGCAUUCGGACCGAGGUGGAAACACCUUUUCUAGCAAUAGCCGUUUGCGAGGUGCUGCAUGGUUGUCGUCAGCUCGUGCCGUGAGGUGUCGGCUUAAGUGCCAUAACGAGCGCAACCCUUGCCACUAGUUACUAACAGGUGAUGCUGAGGACUCUGGUGGGACUGCCAGCGUAAGCUGCGAGGAAGGCGGGGAUGACGUCAAAUCAGCACGGCCCUUACAUCCGGGGCGACACACGUGUUACAAUGGCGUGGACAAAGGGAGGCCACCUGGCGACAGGGAGCGAAUCCCCAAACCACGUCUCAGUUCGGAUCGGAGUCUGCAACCCGACUCCGUGAAGCUGGAUUCGCUAGUAAUCGCGCAUCAGCCAUGGCGCGGUGAAUACGUUCCCGGGCCUUGUACACACCGCCCGUCAAGCCAUGGGAGCCGGGGGUACCUGAAGUCCGUAACCGCGAGGAUCGGCCUAGGGUAAAACUGGUGACUGGGGCUAAGUCGUAACAAGGUAGCCGUACCGGAAGGUGCGGCUG